GUCCUUGUCGAUUAGUGGUUAGAUCAUCACAUUGUGGUAUUUGCAUGCCAGGAUUCCAGCCAUGCGAUUACGUAAUAUCUGUGAAGACACAGGCUCGAAUCCUGUCUGGGACA